rnacentral:rRNA from 1 species
GACGAACGCUGGCGGCGUGCUUAACACAUGCAAGUCGAACGGAAAGGCCCUGCUUUUGUGGGGUGCUCGAGUGGCGAACGGGUGAGUAACACGUGAGUAACCUGCCCUUGACUUUGGGAUAACUUCAGGAAACUGGGGCUAAUACCGGAUAGGAGCUCCUGCUGCAUGGUGGGGGUUGGAAAGUUUCGGCGGUUGGGGAUGGACUCGCGGCUUAUCAGCUUGUUGGUGGGGUAGUGGCUUACCAAGGCUUUGACGGGUAGCCGGCCUGAGAGGGUGACUGGCCACAUUGGGACUGAGAUACGGCCCAGACUCCUACGGGAGGCAGCAGUAGGGAAUAUUGCACAAUGGGCGGAAGCCUGAUGCAGCAACGCCGCGUGCGGGAUGACGGCCUUCGGGUUGUAAACCGCUUUCGCCUGUGACGAAGCGUGAGUGACGGUAAUGGGUAAAGAAGCACCGGCUAACUACGUG